rnacentral:rRNA from 1 species
UUUGAUCCUGGCUCAGAUUGAACGCUGGCGGCAGGCUUAACACAUGCAAGUCGAGCGGUAACAUUUCUAGCUUGCUAGAAGAUGACGAGCGGCGGACGGGUGAGUAAUGCUUGGGAAUAUGCCUUAGGGUGGGGGACAACAGUUGGAAACGACUGCUAAUACCGCAUAACGUCUACGGACCAAAGGGGGCUUCGGCUCUCGCCCUUAGAUUAGCCCAAGUGGGAUUAGCUAGUUGGUGAGGUAAUGGCUCACCAAGGCGACGAUCCCUAGCUGGUUUGAGAGGAUGAUCAGCCACACUGGAACUGAGACACGGUCCAGACUCCUACGGGAGGCAGCAGUGGGGAAUAUUGCACAAUGGGCGCAAGCCUGAUGCAGCCAUGCCGCGUGUGUGAAGAAGGCCUUAGGGUUGUAAAGCACUUUCAGUAAGGAGGAAAGGUUAGUAGUUAAUACC